ensembl:lncRNA
CGUCUCUCUCUCUCUCUCACACCCGGCGUCUCUCUCUCUCUCUCUCACACCCGGCGUCUCGCUCUCUCUCUCACACCCGGCCUCUCUCUCUCUCUCUCUCUCACCCGGCGUCUCUCUCUCUCUCUCACACCCGGCGUCUCUCUCUCUCUCUCACACCCGGCGUCUCUCUCUCUCUCUCACACCCGGCGUCUCUCUCUCUCUCUCACACCCGGCGUCUCACUCUCUCUCUCACACAUACACUCGGUCUCUCUCUCUUUCACACACUCUGUCACUCUCUCUCUCACACACUCGGUCUCUCUCACACACACACACUCGGUCUCUCUCUCACACACACACUCGUCUCUCUCUCUCACACACACACUCGGUCUCUCUCUCUCACACACACACUCGGUCUCUCUCUCACACACACACACUCGGUCUCUCUCACACACACUCGGUCUCUCUCUCUUUCUCACACACACAGUCUCUCUCUCUUUCUCACACACACUCAGUCUCUCUCUCUCACACACACUCAGUCUCUCUCUCUCUCACACCCAGCGUCUCUCUCUCUCUCACACCCAGCGUCUCUCUCUCUCUCACACCCGGCGUCUCGCUCUCUCUCUCACACCCGGCGUCUCGCUCUCUCUCUCUCACACCCGGCGUCUCGCUCUCUCUCUCUCACACCCUCUCGU